UAAGGAAUAUUGCUCAAUGGGAGAAAUCCUGAAGCAGCAACGCCGCGUGGAGGAUGAAGGGUCUAUGACUUGUAAACUCCUGUAAAGAAGGAAAAAAUUCCCAUUUGAUGGGAGAUGAUGGUACUUCUGGAGUAAGCCCCGGCUAACUACGUGCCAGCAGCCGCGGUAAUACGUAGGGGGCAAGCGUUGUCCGGAUUUACUGGGUGUAAAGGGUGCUCAGGCGGAUUUGUAAGUUAGAGGUGAAAUCUUACAGCUUAACUGUGAAACUGCCUUUGAUACUGCAAGCCUAGAGUAUGGAAGAGAGUGAUGGAAUAUCUGGUGUAGCAGUGAAAUGCGUAGAUAUCAGAUAGAACACCAAUGGCGAAGGCAGUCACUUGGUCCAUUACUGACGCUAAAGCACGAAAGCGUGGGUAGCAAACA
rnacentral:rRNA from 1 species